UACGGAGGGAGCUAGCGUUAUUCGGAAUUACUGGGCGUAAAGCGCGCGUAGGCGGCUUUGUAAGUAAGAGGUGAAAGCCUGGUGCUCAACACCAGAACUGCCUUUUAGACUGCAUCGCUUGAAUCCAGGAGAGGUGAGUGGAAUUCCGAGUGUAGAGGUGAAAUUCGUAGAUAUUCGGAAGAACACCAGUGGCGAAGGCGGCUCACUGGCCCGGUACUGACGCUGAGGUGCGAAAGCGUGGGGAGCAAACAGG
rnacentral:rRNA from 1 species